GCUCAGUAACACGUAGUUAACAUUCCCUCGAGUCUGGGAUAUCUCGGGAAACUGAGGCUAACACCAGAUAGACAAGGGGUACUGGAAUGUCCCCUUAUCAAAAGUCCGCGCUCGAGGAUUGGACUGCGACGGAUUAGGUUGUUGCCAGGGUAACGUCCUGACAAGCCGAUAAUCUGUACGAGCCUUGAGAGAGGAAGCUCGGAGAUGGAUUCUGAGACAAGAAUCCAGGUCCUACGGGACGCAGCAGGCGCGAAACUUUCCCAAUGCACGAAAGUGUGAGGAAGGGAUUUGGAGUGCUCUCCCUACUUUAGGGGGAGCUUUUGUGGAGUGUUAAAAGCUUCAAGAAUAAGUGGUGGGUAAGACGGGUGCCAGCCGCCGCGGUAAUACCCGCGCCACGAGUGGUGACCACGAUUAUUGGGCUUAAAGCGUUCGUAGCCGGUUCAGAAAGUCCUUAGUGAAAUCCCAUAGCUAACUAUGGGGCUUGCUAGGGAAACUCUUGGACUAGGGACCGGGAGAGGUCUGGGGUAUUCCAGGGGUAGGGGUAAAAUCCUGUAAUCCUUGGGAGACCACCAGUGGCGAAGGCGCCAGACCAGAACGGAUCCGACGGUGAGGGACGAAAGCCAGGGGAGCAAAGGGGAUUAGAUACCCCCGUAGUCCUGGCUGUAAACGAUGCCCACUAGACAUUGGCAAUCUUAAGGGGGUUGCCAGUGCCGUAGCGAAAGCGUUAAGUGGGCCGCCUGGGGAGUACGGUCGCAAGGCUGAAACUUAAGGGAAUUGGCGGGGGAGCAC
rnacentral:rRNA from 1 species